rnacentral:piRNA from 1 species
UGACUUUAUUGUGUAGAGCAGGCUGGUCC